rnacentral:ncRNA from 1 species
UUUUUGGAGAGUUUGAUCCUGGCUCAGGACGAACGCUGGCGGCGUGCCUAACACAUGCAAGUCGAACGGUUUCGAUUUCGAACUUCGAUCUUCGAAUUUCGAACAUCGAGAUAGUGGCGGACGGGUGAGUAACGCGUGGGUAACCUACCCAUAAAGCCGGGACAACCCUUGGAAACGAGGGCUAAUACCGGAUAAUCUU